UACGGAGGGGGCGAGCGUUAUUCGGAAUUAUUGGGCGUAAAGGGCGCGUAGGCGGCUUGAUGUGUCAAAGGUGAAAUCCCUCGGCUCAACUGAGGAACUGCCUUUGAAACUGUCUGGCUUGAGGCCGGGAGAGGGUAGCGGAAUUCCCAGUGUAGCGGUGAAAUGCGUAGAUACUGGGAGGAACACCGGUGGCGAAGGCGGCAUCCUGGACCGGUAUUGACGCUGAUGCGCGAAAGCCAGGGGAGCAAACGGG
rnacentral:rRNA from 1 species